UUCUCUCUCUCUCUCUCUUUCCUCUCUCCCUCUCCUCUCUCUACGCCUCCCCCCACCGACGGCCCUACGACCCCACCUCCUUAGACGCCUCCCCCCACCCGACUGCCCCACCACCCGUCGACGCUUAACUCGCAGCCACCUCCUUUCCCGACCAGCAGCGUCUCCACCGCCGUUUUCGUGGCUGUUAAGAUUUUUGUUGGAGGACUUGAUUCUGAAGUCACUGACGAGGAGCUGAGGCAGUCCUUUAAUCAGUUUGGGGAAGUGGUCUCUGUGAAGAUACCUGCCGGAAAAGGAUGUGGUUUUGUACAAUUUUGUGAAAGCUUCUAGAUACGAGAAAGGGGCGAUGUGGGGAGUGGGCCAAUUGCUUCACCCUCUACUGUAGGGCUUUUGGUUAUGAUUCUCGUUUGCUUUUUGGCUUUGCCUAUCUUGGACCAUUAGGGGCAUUUUUUGAAGCAUCAAGUUGCUCAGCUAACAAGAACACUUAAUUCCUCGGAGGCUAGGAUGUUGGGUAUGCAAGCCCAAAUUAAUAGUUUAUGAUGGAUAUGUUUAAAUGGAUAUGUAUAUUAUCUUUAAGGGUUUGAAUGUAGUUUUAGUUCGAAUUAGAAGUACUUUUAAGUUUAUAAUGUUUAAGUGUUUGAAUGAUGUUUAUGAUGUUUAAGUGUUUGAAUGUAGUUUAUGAUGUUUAAGUGUUUGAAUGUAGUUUUAAUUUUAAGUA